AUCCUAAUAGCUUAAGUUUAAAGUUUAAUAUUGAAAAUGUUAAGAUAAAUUUAAUUAAAAUUUUUUGGAUA
rnacentral:tRNA from 1 species